rnacentral:lncRNA from 1 species
CUUCUUUAAGCCUCUUUUCAGGCUGAGUCCUAAACCUGAAGAAAGUUUAGAGCCUGGGGCUCUAAACUACCUGAGUCUUUCCAAACGACAAGCCAAGAAGACCUGUUGAAAGUUUCCUCUUAAGUUUCGUGGAGAGAGACUCAGGUAUAGAAAUAUCCUUACUGCCACCUGACCUGAAGCAGAAGAAAUCACAGACAGCUUCCAGACCAGCUGCCACCCACCGGGAGGGAAGUGAAAUCUCACCUCAACAAGUGAGUCCGCAGAGCGAGAACCGUGCGACAGUGCGUCUGCCAAUACCUGGAAUGUAGGUGUUCGUUGCAGUGUGGCCUUCCCAGCCGGCCUCUCAGCACACCCGGCCAGGCAGCCAGUGUUCCCAGAGGACACGCUGGGGCCAGACGUGGAGGACCCCGGCCACCUCGGGGAGGGAAAGAGACCAAGAAAAGAACCUCUGUAGCCUUGCUUCUGAGAGUGCAGGUUUGUUACAGAGACGGAGCCAAGGCUGGUCUUGAACUCCUGGGCUUAAGCGAUCCUGCUCCCUGGGCCUCCCAAAGUGCUGGGAUUACAGGCGUGAGCCACUGGGUCCGGCAUCUACAUUUGUUAAAUACAUUAAAACCCUCUUAAUCCUUUGUCUCCGUUUGUUCUCUUUUGCUCCCUGCUCUCCAGGCUCUUGUGGCGGAGGCCCCCGCUCCCUCCGCUGUAGGGUAGCCUCCUUCUGGGGCUGGCUCCUGAGCACUGUUCUUUCUCCUCUCUCUCAUCCUCUCUCAUUCUUAGCUUUGCCUGUCGACUGGGCCAAGUCACAGCCUUUCUGGCCUGUAAGACAACAAAAAUCUCACAUUUUACUAAAUGGAAGGACUAAGUACUCUGUCUUGACUUCAGUGGUUUCCCCGAUUUCUGAUGUUGCUGCUGAAAUAGCAUUAGCAAGCUUGUUUCUUAAAGAAGCCCUCUCUCCAGUGACAAUACUCCCCCCGCCACACACACACACAUGCACACGCACACACAAACAUGCAUGCACGCGCACACACACACACAAUUUUAAAGCCCUCGUGUUAUAUUAAAAAGGUCUGGAUGUUUUUAACAUACAUGGAAAUUUCUUCAGCAGCACAGUGUUACUGGUCUGACGAGGGCGCACAGCCUCCUACCCAAGGACACAGUUCCUGAAGGACCAGGGUGCACAUCUGGCCUGCAGUGCCCUGAGCCACUCUGUCCAAAAGGAAGCCUUGAAUCAAAAGCCUCAUGAAUCCUCUCCUGAGAAAUUCCAUGUCUGGUCUCUUGCUAGACUCAGCCUUUUCCCCACCAAGUCUGCCGCACCUAAUUCUGACCUCACCCUGCUUGGUGGCCCGCUUUGCCUGCUUGCACGCACCUCAGGUCUCAGUGUGUCUCAGCAACAGCUUCCCCUCCUAGGGUGGCCAGAGUUAGCAAGCAAGAAUGCAAGACAGCCAGUUAUGUUUGAAUUUCAGAUAAAUAACAAAUAUAAGUGUCUUUUAGCAUAUAAUAUUUUAUUUGGGACAUAUACUAAUAUUUAUUAUAUAUUAGUCUCAUGAUAUUUGGGACAUAUACUAAAAAAUUAUUUGCCCUUUAUCUGAACUUCAAAUGUGACCAAAUGUGUCCUGUAUUCUGAAUGUGUCUGGCAGUCCUAUAAUCAUUCAUUCAGUCAGUCAUCAGAUAUUUGAGCACCUACCAUGUAUCAAGCACUAUUCUAGAGAGCCCGGAUAGCUCAGUCAGUAGAGCAUCAAGCGCUACUCUAGGUGCUGGGGAAGCCAGCCAAAGUCCCGCCUUCAUAUCUUACAGUAUGUCUACUUUGUUUUUAUAUACAUGUACACUAUAUAUACUUGAAGAUAUGUACCUUUUUCUUUUUUUCUUUUUAUUAUUUUUUUUUGAGACAGAGUCUGACUCUAUUACUCAGUGCAGUGGCACCAUCUCAGCUCACUGCAACUUCUACCUCCUGGGUUCAAGUGAUUCUCCAGCCUCAGCCUCCCAAGUAGCUAGGAUUACAGGCAUGUGCCACCAUACCUGGCUAAUUUUUGUAUUUUUAGUAGAGACAAAGUUUCACCAUGUUGGCCAGGCUUGUCUUGAACUCCUGACCUCAAGUGAUCUGCCCACCUCGGCCUCCCAAAGUGCUAGGAUUACAGGCGUGAGCCACCGCGCCCAGCCCAGAUAUGUACUUUUUAAUGGCAAUGUUACCACAUUUAAUGAGAUUAUCUUUUUAAAAAAUGUUUUAAUUUUUAAAUUUUAAAAAAUAGGGAUGGGAUCUUACUUUGUUGCCUAGACUGGUCUCCAAAUCCAGGUCUCAAGUGAUCCUCCCACCUUGGCCUCCUAAGGUGGUGGGAUUACAGGUGUGAGCCACGGUGCCAGCCAAGAUGAUCAAUACUUCCUUAAUAUCAUCUAAAACAUACACUGUACUGUGUUUAGUUCUCUAUCAUCUCAAAGAUAUCUACAUCUUUAUACAGUAUGUUUGAAUUACGAUUUAAUAAAGAUCCACUCAUGACAUCUAAUUGAUGUCUCUUUUUUUUUAAUAUGUUUCUUUUUUUUCUUUUUAUUUAUUUAUUUAUUUUUGAGACAGAGUCUCCGUGUGUCACCCAGGCUGGAGUGCAAUGGCGCGAUCCCCGCUCACUGCAACCUUUGCCUCCCAGGUUCAAGUGAUUCUCCUGUUGCAGUCUCCCAACUCACUGGAAUUACAGGCACCUGCCAUCAUGCCCAGCUAAUUUUUGUAUUUUUUUUAGAGACAGGGUUUCACCACGUUGGCCAGGCUGCUCUUGAACUCCUGCCUCCCAAAGUGCUGGGAUUACAGGCGUGAACGAUUGUGCCCUGCCUGAUAUGUUUCUAUUCUUUCUUUCUUUCUUUCUUUCUUUUUUUUUUGAGACGGAGUUUCGCUGUUGUUGCCCAGGCUGGAUGCAAUGGCGUGAUCUCGGCUCACUGCAACCUCCGCCUCCUGGGUUCAAGUGAUUCUCCUGCCUCAGCCUCCCGAGUAGCUGGGAUUGCAGGCAUGUGCCACCAUGCCUGGCUAAUUUUGUAUUUUUAGUAGAGACGGGGUUUCUCCAUGUUGGUCAGGCUGGUCUCAAACUCCCGACCUCUGGUGAACUACCCGCCUUGGCCUCCCAAAGUGCUAGGAUUACAGGCGUGAGCCAUCGUCCCCUGCCGGAUAUGUUUCUUAUGUCUCUUUUAAGCUGUAGCAGUUCUCUGUCUUCACCUUUUUUUGGCGCCAUUUAUUUGUUGAAGAAACCGGCCAUUUGUCUUGCAGAACUUACCAGAUACUGAAUUUGGAUAGCUGCCUUCUUGUGGUCAUUAGUUUAUUUCUCUGUCCCCUGUAUUUCCUGUAAACUGAUCAUUAGAUCCAGAGGCUUGAUCAGAUUCGGAUCCAAUGUUUUUGGAUCAGGAGACACAUAAUGGUUGUCUCACCUUUAGUGAGACCAAGAUUGGUCAUUGGGAACAGGGAAGUGGAGCUGGGGUGAGUAUAGGGUCACCAGAUGUCCAGUACAAGCAGAAUGGACAGGGCUGUGCUGCAGGAUG